AGAGUUUGAUCAUGGCUCAGGACGAACGCUGGCGGCGUGCUUAACACAUGCAAGUCGAGCGAGCAUCUUCGGGUGCUAGUGGCGAACGGGUGAGUAACACGUGAGCAACCUGCCCCUGGCUCUGGGAUAGCCUCCGGAAACGGGGAUUAAUACCGGACAUGACCUUUCACCGCAUGGUGGGGGGUGGAAAGUUUUUCGGCCAGGGUGGGGCUCGCGGCCUAUCAGCUUGUUGGGGGGGUAACGGCCCACCAAGGCGACGACGGGUAGCCGGCCUGAGAGGGCGACCGGCCACACUGGGACUGAGACACGGCCCAGACUCCUGCGGGAGGCAGCAGUGGGGAAUAUUGCGCAAUGGGGGAAACCCUGACGCAGCGACGCCGCGUGCGGGAUGAAGGCCUUCGGGUUGUAAACCGCUUUCAGCAGGGGCGAAUGUUGACGGUACCUGCAGAAGAAGCGCCGGCUAACUACGUGCCAGCAGCCGCGGUAAUACGUAGGGCGCGAGCGUUGUCCGGAUUUAUUGGGCGUAAAGAGCUCGUAGGCGGCCUGUUGCGUCUGCUGUGAAAUCCCGGGGCUUAACCCCGGGCGUGCAGUGGAUACGGGCAGGCUGGAGGCAGGCAGGGGAGAACGGAAUUCCCGGUGUAGCGGUGAAAUGCGCAGAUAUCGGGAGGAACACCGGUGGCGAAGGCGGUUCUCUGGGCCUGUUCUGACGCUGAGGAGCGAAAGCGUGGGGAGCGAACAGGAUUAGAUACCCCCGUAGUCC
rnacentral:rRNA from 1 species